UACGGAGGGUGCAAGCGUUAUCCGGAUUCACUGGUUUAAAGGUGCGUAGGAGGGCAGGUAAGUCAGUGGUGAAAUCUCCAAGCUUAACUUGGAAACUGCCGUUGAUACUAUCUGUCUUGAAUAUUGUGGAGGUGAGCGGAAUAUGUCAUGUAGCGGUGAAAUGCUUAGAUAUGACAUAGAACACCAAUUGCGAAGGCAGCUCACUACUCAAUCAUUGACUCUGAGGCACGAAAGCGUGGGGAUCAAACAGG
rnacentral:rRNA from 1 species